UACGUAGGUGGCAAGCGUUGUCCGGAUUUACUGGGCGUAAAGGGUGUGUAGGCGGUUGUUUAAGUUUGGUGUGAAAUCUCCCGGCUCAACUGGGAGGGUGCGCCGAAUACUGAAUGACUUGGAGUGCGGGAGAGGAGAGUGGAAUUCCUGGUGUAGCGGUGAAAUGCGUAGAUAUCAGGAGGAACACCGGUGGUGUAGACGGCUCUCUGGACCGUAACUGACGCUGAGACACGAAAGCGUGGGUAGCAAACAGG
rnacentral:rRNA from 1 species